rnacentral:snoRNA from 1 species
UAAUAUGAUGAUUUGUUGUCGACCGGGCGGACAUAUUAGUAUCUGCUAAAGGAUCGCCAUCUACUUCGCAUCGUUCUUUUGUGUACAAAUUUUUUAAAGGAGCGGUGUUGAUGGCAUUACGGUUCUCUAGUGGAGAAUUGAUGAUUGGUCACAAGACAUCUGAUU